AGUAAAAGAGAACCGUGGAAUUCAAGGGUACACGCUUGGGCAUUCGCCUAUCGAAAAAUUUAAAUUUUUGUUCAUAGGCGAUUCAAGGAUUCGCCAACAGUUUUUUAAUUUUCUGAAGCUUAUUCCAGAUUUCGAUCAAAUCAUUGAACCAAGUUCAAUCCCUAAUUACCAUGGUGACAUUGACGUUACAAGUCGUAUUUU